rnacentral:tRNA from 1 species
GCGGGCGCGCUUUGUUUUAUCGAGGAGACGCUCUCAGGCUCAUAACCUGAAGGUCAUAGGUUCAAAUCCUAUCCCCGCA